UUAUAUUUCCAAAAACCCCAAAUCUAACCCUAGGUUUAGCAACAAUAGAGAAAUCAUGGUUUCAAGCUCCAAAUUUGGGAUUGAACCUUCUCUUAAGCUUCAAUGGUUUCCAUUUAAACCAUUCUUAAGCAACAUAACCCUUUCUAAAACCUAGGUUUAGCAUCUAUGAGGAAAACCAUGGAUGCUAGCCUCAAUGUGAGCUAGAUCCAUCAUCUCUAAACUCAUUAGGUUCUACUUGAACCAUUUAAAAGCAACAAAACCUACAAACCCUAGAAAUCUCAUGUUUAGGGUUUAGGCUUACCUCUAGGGUUUGCUCCAAAGCAAGCCCUAGGCCAAGAACGAGAUGAAGAAGAGCUUCCAAGCCUUCUUCUCCUUCUUCUCCUUCCUUUUCUUCCUCUCUUUCUCCUUCUUUUUCCUCUCUUUUUCCUUUUCUCCUUCUUCUCCUUCUAUUCGGUUAGAGAGAGAGAGAGCUAGAGAGAGAGUGAGCUGGGGAGAGUGAAAGAGGAGAGAGCUGAGAGUAAGAGGGAUAUAACCUCUAUUGUAACAAAAUGCUAAAAAGCCCUCCUUUUACAGAUUUUGCAACUUAACCCACUGCUUGCGCGCCCUUGUACCGGUACACGGGACCUUGUACCGGUACAGGCCCUUAAAUCGAGCGCUAUCCGAGCCUCGGGUCAAUCUGUUUCGCAGAGCUUGUACCGGUACAAGCCAGCCUUGUACCGGUACAGCGCCUGAAGCCUUCGAACCCGAGAUUACGCAGCCUGGCUGCGAUGGUUGUACCGGUACAGCCAUCACCCUUGUACCGGUACAACAGCUCCAGAUUGCUGUUUUUCAAUCUGUUUUGAUUUCUUUUCGCGUCCAAUAACGCUAAAACUAUUCCAACACUUUUGGAACUCAUUUUUGCUCUUCCAAACAUAUUGAAACUCCGAAUGGAACUCGUCCAAUUCGUUUAAUCGCUCACUUUGGUCCAUUUGGAACUCAUUUUUGCUCUUCCAAACAUAUUGAAACUCCGAAUGGAACUCGUCCAAUUCGUUUAAUCGCUCACUUUGGUCCAUUUGGCCAAGUUAGCCAAUAUCGUCGAAUUUCGAUAUCUUACAC
rnacentral:lncRNA from 1 species